rnacentral:rRNA from 1 species
GACGAACGCUGGCGGCGUGCUUAACACAUGCAAGUCGAACGGAAAGGCCCUGCUUUUGUGGGGUGCUCAAGUGGCGAACGGGUGAGUAACACGUGAGUAACCUGCCCUUGACUUUGGGAUAACUUCAGGAAACUGGGGCUAAUACCGGAUAGGAGCUCCUGCUGCAUGGUGGGGGUUGGAAAGUUUCGGCGGUUGGGGAUGGACUCGCGGCUUAUCAGCUUGUUGGUGGGGUAGUGGCUUACUAAGGCUUUGACGGGUAGCCGGCCUGAGAGGGUGACCGGCCACAUUGGGACUGAGAUACGGCCCAGACUCCUACGGGAGGCAGCAGUGGGGAAUAUUGCACAAUGGGCGGAAGCCUGAUGCAGCAACGCCGCGUGCGGGAUGACGGCCUUCGGGUUGUAAACCGCUUUCGCCUGUGACGAAGCGUGAGUGACGGUAAUGGGUAAAGAAGCACCGGCUAACUACGUG